ACACAACUUCUUAGUGAAGUGUAGUGAAUCUCCAAGUGCAGUGUAGUGUCUGUUAGUGAAUGAGUGAAUGUAAACAAACGUGAUUACAAUAAAUCCACGUAAAAAAUUUCAGAUUUUGUACCAUUACUACGUCUGUCAAUUAUUUUGCCUUGCAUGAUAUAAUGUUUUGAUGUGGUUUUAGGCUAAAUUGUAUCUCAAAUUAUUUUUCUAGGAAUCAGAAAACACAACCUGCUAAAGCACCACGCAAGAAGAAGAGCAAGUCUUCCAAGUCCGAGAGUGUGUCUGCGAGAUCAAUUGAAACUAAUCAAGCUACAAUGUACAUGUAACGUACAAUCACCAUUCGAUGCCUGUGAACAGCAUGACCAACAUCUGUAUCCUUUACAUUAGUAUUUGUUUCCAUUUUAUUAUGUAAUUCUUAUGUCUAAUCAUUGAGAUUCAUAGGCAAGUACAACAUGUAUGUGUACACAAUGAGUGCCUGCAUAUUGUGAAGAUAAAGGACCAUAAGACCAUUACUUAUGAUACAUGGUAAUGAUGGUAUACUUUGUAAAACUAUUUGAAAAUAGUAGCAUGUAAGUCUGUCAUUUUCUUGUUUAUAUAUAUCUCAAUGACAUGACAUGUCAUUGAUUUUGUAGUAAGUGUUUCUAGAUUAUGAUGAUUGUAUUAAGAUUUUGACAGUUCAAUUGAGAUUGAGAAAAUUAUGUAACAUGUCAACUGUACAAUAGAGCAUGCAUGCAUUGUUGAAAAAUCUGUUUUAUGAUUUAUUUUAUUUUGUUAUCUUUGUAAAUAACGAGAAUUUUUUUUUUACUUGUCAUGAUUUUCUUGAGGUUUGAAAAUAUUAUUACAUUAUUAAGAGCACUUUGCAAUUAAAUUGUAAUAAAAGAGACAGAAAACAACACUCUCAUGUCAAGAAUACUGCUUUAUUUGGUUACUAGUGAGGGAGAGAGCUUGUGAUCGCCUGGCAUAUCCACAUCGGCUCAGUAAUAGUCCUGAAACUCAACUGAAUACUUUAUUUGAACAAAAAUAGAAAGCUACAUUCUAGGUGGAUGAUAUUUUUUUAAGGCGGAGGCAUAUAGGAGACGCAGUCGCAUUUGUCUUGUUUUUUUUUUUUAGAGUAUAAUCAUAGCAAACCAUGAACAACUCUAUUACUACAACAUGUACACUACAGUACUUAACCAAAGAUUGUAAAUAUCAGUUAAGUUCUUUUAUUUAUUUGCUUACAUGAACACACAUACUAUACUAAACUCAUGUCAUUGUGUUUACCUCUCGAAAAUAAAGUACAUGUAUUUUAUUUGACACGUUCCCUUUUAUUCUUUUUGUUUGUUACAGUCCACUGCCAUUAUAACGAGGUGCUCGGGACCAAGCCAAUUUCCUUGUUAAAAUGAAAUCAUGUUAUACUCAAGUUACUGAACACAUUGGUUUGUUUAAAAUUGGGACUGAUGAGAAUUGCCUGAUAAUAAAAUCUUGGUGUAUCCAUGUUCGUUAUAAUAGGA